rnacentral:rRNA from 1 species
UACGUAGGGUGCAAGCGUUGUCCGGAAUUAUUGGGCGUAAAGAGCUCGUAGGCGGUGUGUCGCGUCGGCCGUGAAAACCUGCAGCUUAACUGUGGGCUUGCGGUCGAUACGGGCAUCACUGGAGUUCGGCAGGGGAGACUGGAAUCCUGGUGUAGCGGUGAAAUGCGCAGAUAUCAGGAGGAACACCAAUGGCGAAGGCAGACCUCUGGGCCGUAACUGACGCUGAGGAGCGAAAGCAUGGGGAGCGAACAGG